UAAUAUUGUGAUAACUAUGUAUGUGGCCAGUUGGGUACUGGAUAUAUCAGGGGGGACACUUUGUAAAGUAUAUGCUUCUUUACCCACAAUGCUGUGCACCUGAAAUUAAUACAAAAUGAUAUUGAAUAUUUAUAAAACUGUAAGUGCAAACACCUGUCCACACAAAAACUUGACCUGAAUGUUUAUAGCAAAUUAUUUAUAACUAGAGGCCUGGUGCAUGGAUCCUUUGGCCUGGCCUGUGGGGAUUGGGCUGAAACUAGUUCUCUGACAACCCCCGAGGUGUCCCGGAUUGUGAGGGUGGUUCUCAUGUGACACACCCU